CCUACGGGAGGCAGCAGUGAGGAAUAUUGGUCAAUGGGCGAGAGCCUGAACCAGCCAAGUCGCGUGAAGGAUGACGGCCCUACGGGUUGUAAACUUCUUUUGUCAGGGAGCAAUUGGGUCCACGCGUGGGCUUAGCGAGAGUACCUGAAGAAAAAGCAUCGGCUAACUCCGUGCCAGCAGCCGCGGUAAUACGGAGGAUGCGAGCGUUAUCCGGAUUUACUGGGUGUAAAGGGCGUGCAGCCGGAGAGACAAGUCAGAUGUGAAAUCCACGGGCUCAACCCGUGAACUGCAUUUGAAACUGUUUCCCUUGAGUGUCGGAGAGGUAAUCGGAAUUCCUUGUGUAGCGGUGAAAUGCGUAGAUAUAAGGAAGAACACCAGUGGCGAAGGCGGAUUACUGGACGAUAACUGACGGUGAGGCGCGAAAGCGUGGGGAGCAAACAGGAUUAGAUACCCGAGUAGUC
rnacentral:rRNA from 1 species